UACAGAGGUCUCAAGCGUUGUUCGGAUUCAUUGGGCGUAAAGGGUGCGUAGGUGGCGCCGUAAGUCAGGUGUGAAAUUUCGGAGCUUAACUCCGAAACUGCAUUUGAUACUGCGGUGCUUGAGGACUGGAGAGGAGACUGGAAUUUACGGUGUAGCAGUGAAAUGCGUAGAGAUCGUAAGGAAGACCAGUGGCGAAGGCGGGUCUCCGGACAGUUCCUGACACUGAGGCACGAAGGCCAGGGGAGCAAACGGG
rnacentral:rRNA from 1 species